rnacentral:rRNA from 1 species
UACGAGAGGCCCAAACGUUAUUCGGAAUUACUGGGCUUAAAGAGUUCGUAGGCGGCGCAGAAAGUAGGGUGUGAAAGCCCUCGGCUCAACCGAGGAAUUGCGCUCUAAACUACUGUGCUUGAGGAAGCUAGAGGUGAGCGGAACUGAUGGUGGAGCGGUGAAAUGCGUUGAUAUCAUCAGGAACACCGGUGGCGAAGGCGGCCCACUGGUCCGGUACUGACGCUGAGGUGCGAAAGCGUGGGGAGCAAACAGG